ACGUAGGGGGCGAGCGUUAUUCGGAAUUACUGGGUGUAAAGGGUAUGUAGGCGGCCCUUCAAGUCGCGCGUCAAAGUCCAGUGCUCAACCCUGGGUGUGCGUGCGAUACUGACGGGCUUGAGGGCUGGAGAGGUGAGCGGAAUUCCCGGUGUAGCGGUAAAAUGCGUAGAUAUCGGGAGGAACGCCAGCGGCGAAGGCAGCUCACUGGACGAUUUCUGACGCUGAGAUGCGAAAGCGUGGGGAGCAAACAG
rnacentral:rRNA from 1 species